rnacentral:rRNA from 1 species
GAUGAACGCUGGCGGCGUGCCUAAUACAUGCAAGUCGAACGCGCAGCGAAAGGUGCUUGCACCCUUCAAGCGAGUGGCGAACGGGUGAGUAACACGUGGAUAACCUGCCUCAAGGCUGGGGAUAACAUUUGGAAACAGAUGCUAAUACCGAAUAAAACUUAGUAUCGCAUGAUACAAAGUUAAAAGGCGCUACGGCGUCACCUAGAGAUGGAUCCGCGGUGCAUUAGUUAGUUGGUGGGGUAAAGGCUUACCAAGACGAUGAUGCAUAGCCGAGUUGAGAGACUGAUCGGCCACAUUGGGACUGAGACACGGCCCAAACUCCUAAGGGAGGCUGCAGUAGGGAAUCUUCCACAAUGGGCGCAAGCCUGAUGGAGCAACGCCGCGUGUGUGAUGAAGGCUUUCGGGUCGUAAAGCACUGUUGUAUGGGAAGAAAUGCUAAAAUAGGGAAUGAUUUUAGUUUGACGGUACCAUACCAGAAAGGGACGGCUAAAUACGUGCCAGCAGCCGCGGUAA